rnacentral:rRNA from 1 species
UGAGGAAUAUUGGUCAAUGGACGCAAGUCUGAACCAGCCAAGUAGCGUGCAGGAUGACGGCCCUAUGGGUUGUAAACUGCUUUUAUAUGGGGAUAAAGUGGGGAACGUGUUCCCUUUUGCAGGUACCAUAUGAAUAAGGACCGGCUAAUUCCGUGCCAGCAGCCGCGGUAAUACGGAAGGUUCGGGCGUUAUCCGGAUUUAUUGGGUUUAAAGGGAGCGUAGGCCGUUUGGUAAGCGUGUCGUGAAAUGUAGGAGCUCAACUUCUAGAUUGCAGCGCGAACUGUCAGACUUGAGUGCGCACAACGUAGGCGGAAUUCAUGGUGUAGCGAUGAAAUGCUUAGAUAUCAUGAAGAACUCCGAUUGCGAAGGCAGCUUACGGGAGCGCAACUGACGCUGAAGCUCGAAGGUGCGGGUAUCGAACAGGAUUAGAUACCCUGGUAGUCCGCACAGUAAACGAUGGAUGCCCGCUGUUAGCACCUAGUGUUAGCGGCUAAGCGAAAGCAUUAAGCAUCCCACCUGGGGAGUACGCCGGCAACGGUG